rnacentral:rRNA from 1 species
UACAGAGGUGCCAAGCGUUAGGCGGAAUCACUGGGCUUAAAGCGCGUGUAGGCGGUCAGGUAAGUGGGAUGUGAAAUGCCCCGGCUCACCCGGGGACCGGCAUCCCAUACUGCUUGGCUUGAGUACGGGAGAGGAUGUGGGAAUUCCUGGUGUAGCGGUGAAGUGCGUAGAUAUCAGGAGGAACACCGGUGGCGAAGGCGCACAUCUGGCCCGAUACUGACGCUGAGGCGCGAAAGCUAGGGGAGCAAACGGG